rnacentral:lncRNA from 1 species
GAAGAAGCUGUCUGUAUAGCUUGUUAAUGCUAAAAGACUCUCCCUAUUGAACCUGCCUCAAUCUGUUUUCCAGAUUUCCACUGAGUGUUGCAAUGCCUUUAAUCAAACUCCUCGACUCAAAAAUUUUCCUGAUUGCCCAGGCAGCAGCCCCAGGCACCAGCAUGUCUUCAAAACAGUGGUUCCUGAUAUAGAAGGUAUGAACC